GCUGGGUUCUCAAGGAAGCAGACCCUGAGGCAGACAUUCAGCCUGCAGAAAGUCUGUAUCUCCUGGUGCAUUGGUGAGAUAAUUUAUCCAUUUCCUUACUUUCCUUCCAAAGAAACAACCACUAUCAAGAAUCUGGUCACGUCCACAUUUGCUCCAGCUUCGAGACUGUUAUUGAAGUGUUCUUAUCAGGAGCAUACUGUGUCAUCUUAGUGACAUGCUGUAAUUCUGCUCAUUCAGGGGAGCUGAGUGAAAACACAGGGCAAAGAUACCAGUACAUGAGGAACCUAGAUGCUUGCUCUCGAAGUAAACUCAAGGAAGCCACUUUAAGAAUCUCCAGGACUAAAGUACAGAGGACAAUACCUGUCCUCCCUACCCUCGGGAAAGUUUAUUCACUCAGCAACCUAUUGGGAGCAUCUGCUGCAUAUGCAGAGCUCCUUGCUAGGAACUGUGGAAGGCAGCAGCAACAGUUAUUCCAGCUACAGAAGCACGUUUUCCUACGGCGACUGCGAGGGACAGGUGAGAAAAUGAAGAUCAGAAAGUCCACAUGACUUGUUUAAGAUCACCCCAUCAGGAAAUGGCAAAGAACAAGGUCAGUCUCCAUGGCUCAAAAUGGGUCCUUUCCUACUCUGAGAGAUACUGAACCUGUGAAAGCACUCUAAAUGUGAAUUAUUCAACUGAAGUUGCUGACGGUGGAACCAUGGGGCUGAGUCAUGUCUGCCCACAGCUGCUGCGUUUUGCAUCCCUGGGCACUGAUGUCUGAAACUCGACCCUGGCAAGGACCAGCCCUACCCCCUUGGAGGAAAUGGCUAAGCAGCCUCAGCAACAGCAGAUGAAAACUUCCUUCCUCUUCAUCCAGCUGCAGGCCCCCCCUGCCCGAGCUCACCCCGCCCAGUCUCCAGCCGCUGCAGCCUCAAAAGCAGCCCCAAGAGGCCUGGAGGAGGUACACAUUUUCCCGAGUCCCAGGACAGGCUUCUUGGCAGGCUGGGACCUCAGACACACGCAGAGCUUCACUGUUUCUCCUUCAAGCCUGCUGCCUGAGGAAGGGGCUGGGACAGAGGGACCAGCUUCUUUCAGUUGCUAUUCACUGAAGGAGAAGAAGGAGGGAGAGGCAAAGCCCCAGAAUCUGGGUGUAAGGAGGGGUGGUGUUUGUGGAUCUCCACAUUGUAGGCGUUGCCUGGCCCCUGCCUCUAGGAAACUUGGAUGGACACAGCCUCUGUCAUGUGGCCUUGCUAGCCCAGCAUCUGCCAUGAGCAAUGGAAGCGGCGAUCCGUCCAUGGGCUGGAAGGACUGGCCACUCAUUUCUGCCCCCCAGGAGCUGUGGAACAUGGAUCUCCAAGCCAGGAAUGCCUUGGGAUGUUCAAUUCAGCAGGCCACCCUAGUCCAUGCUGCUGACAGGGGUGAAAGGGCCAUGCUGAGGAAAGGCGCUGCCACCCACCAGCUACUCCUGAAGAACUGUGAUGAGGGAUUAGGUACCACAGUACUGGCAACAAGGGCACGGCUCUACAGAUACUACCCCACCACUCAGAUCAGCCAGAGCUGCCCAGCCCCACCUGCUGCUCUGCCUCUCAAGACAUGAAGGAGAGGUUUUGCUCUGCUACGUACACCUGUCACAAAAUGCUGUCUUCCCACUAGGAGCCUAAAAUCAAUUUGUCCACCAGAUCAUAGAUUAGAACCUCCAAAACUGUGAGCCAAAACAAAUCUUUUCUCUUUAUAAGUUGAAUGUCUUGGGUGAUGGAAAGCUGACUUACACAAGACAUAAUUACUGGAUUUGGUCAUUCAAUAAAUAUUAAUUAAUCACCAAUUUUGUGGUAGACAUUAUUCUAGGUACUGGGAACAUAGCAGUGAGUAGGAAAAACAAGGUCUUUGUCCAUAUAUUCUAAUAGGAACAGACAAUGACAAACAGGCAACAUAAAUAUAAUGACUUCAGAUAGCAAUAAGUACUUAGGAGAAUAUGAAACAGAAGGAAGUGAUGGGGCAAGGGGUACUGGAAUGAAGAGUUUAAUUUGUGUGAUAAGAGAAGGUGUCAUGGAGAAGGUAGUAUCUGAGUUGAGACAGGAAGGAGCAAUUCACAAGAAGGGCAGUCGCCCCACUUCUGGUUGGGAAGGGCUUACACUAUGAGGCCAUCCACUCAGUGACUUGACAAACAAGGGGUGGUCGGCAUUGUUACAAGGUCAAUUCAAAGUGUAAUAAAACUCUGAACUGUCUUUGGUGUCAUAAAUUUAGCAUGGUGGUGUUUUUAUGAAAAUGCAUUCAUCUUAUGGUUUAAGCUAAUGUUUAAGGCAUUCUUGAAUGGGCCAGUGGCCAAGGAAUGACAGUAAUAUUUCUCUUUGGCUGAGCCUGUUGACCUAGUUUUGUAAAACUACUUUGUGAGUAAUCUUUGGGAAUAAUGUUCCCCCAACAGCUGGGUCUGUUCUCCUCGAGAACCAGCUUUACUCCCUAUGCUUUAAGCAACAAAAUAAACAAAAAUGUUCAAGUUAAAUAAAUCAUUCUACACUUCAUGCCAUUUUAGAGAACUAAUGCAAAAUUCUGGUCUUUCUCAUCCCCAAAUUUCUUUAGUAAGUGGACUUUCCCAGGUAAUUCUCUGAAAGCAGUCCUUCUGUCAUCUUUUCAUACUGUUUUGUGAACCACCAGACACUGUGUGUCUUUUGCCCAUUCAAUGUCAUUUGUAGACUCUGGAACUCUUUAGAGAGAAGCAAUAAACUAGAUGUAUAUCAAGUUAGAAGCUAUCUACUAAAAACUGAAUACCAGAAUUAAAUUGUUGACUACCUGUAAGUUACUUUAUGCAUUAUUAAAUUAUUAAAUGCUUCUCUAAGUCUUUUAUAAAGCAUAAAACAGACAGCAGAUUCUAUUUCUGUUUUCUAUCAGUUUGAGGUUUAGGGCAGAUACAUAUAUGCAAAGCAGCAUUUUAUGACCUAUACAAUGAAACACCAACAAAAUAAGCAGUAAGUUUUAACACUGGUAUAAUAGUCAUUGUAACCCUACAUUAGGGUGACAGUUGAAUAGAUGGUUUGUGCAAGUUGCUGUCUGCAUAUCCGAAUUUGGGGGUUAGGGGAGAAUCACCAUUUAUUCCAUUUAGCCAGGGGAAGAUUCUCAGUGGAGAUGGGCUUCAGGGUGAGUAAAGGAAGAAAUUGCUGGGUGAAUUAAAAGAAUAUAGGCCAGGCGCUGGUGGCUCACGUCUAUCAUCCUAGCUACUCACGAGGCAGAGAUCAGGAGGAUCACAGUUUGAAGCCAGCCCGGACAAAUAGUUCAUGAGAA